UGGACAGAUUAUUAUAUCCGACUGUAUUCACGGUGUGAAACAGGGGAUUACACUAUUUUUAAACGGAAAGUGAAUCAAUUAACAUAAUAGACUCCU
rfam:Nicotiana sylvestris Nsyl_contig73935, whole genome shotgun sequence.